AUUAAACGCUGGCGGCAUGCCUUACACAUGCAAGUCGAACGGCAGCACGGGGGCGACCCUGGUGGCGAGUGGCGAACGGGUGAGUAAAGCAUCGGAACGUGCCCUGGAAUGGGGGAUAACGUAGCGAAAGUUACGCUAAUACCGCAUAUUCUGUGAGCAGGAAAGCAGGGGAUCGCAAGACCUUGCGUUUCAGGAGCGGCCGAUGUCGGAUUAGCUAGUUGGUGGGGUAAAGGCCUACCAAGGCGACGAUCCGUAGCGGGUCUGAGAGGAUGAUCCGCCACACUGGAACUGAGACACGGUCCAGACUCCUACGGGAGGCAGCAGUGGGGAAUUUUGGACAAUGGGCGCAAGCCUGAUCCAGCCAUGCCGCGUGAGUGAAGAAGGCCUUCGGGUUGUAAAGCUCUUUCGGCCGGGAAGAAAUCGCACGGGAGAAUACCCUGUGUGGAUGACGGUACCGGAGUAAGAAGCACCGGCUAACUACGUGC
rnacentral:rRNA from 1 species